GAGGGUAUUAUGCUAACAGAAAUAAGUCCUUCAGAGAAAGACAAAUACCAUAUGAUUUCACUCAUAUGUGGAAUUUAAGAAACAAAACAGAUGAACAUGGGGAAGGGAAGAAAAAUAAAAAGAUGAAAUCAGAGAGAGAGGCAAACCAUAGGACUCUUAAUGACAGGGAACAAACUGAGGGCCGCUGGGGGCGGAAGGGGGUCAAGAGAUGGGGCAACUAAUUGAUGGGCAUUAAGGAGGGCACUUGAAGUAAUGUGCAGUGGAUGUUGCAUGCAACUGAUCAAUCACUGAACUCUACUGCUGAAAUUAAUAAUACAAUACUGUUGAUUAAAUUGAAUUUAAAUUUAAAAAUUUUAAGAUUCUCUCUCUCUCCCUCACCCCUUCCCUCCCUUCUUUCUCUCUCAAAUAAAUAAAUCUUUAAAAACUAUGGACAUAAUUACAGUUAUGUUCAAAAAAGUCAGCCUCUAGAUAAUAUAGAUCAUAAUUCUACUUAUAAAGCUAAACAAUAUUCACAAAAAGGUAAACUGUGAAGGGAAUGAUAAAUAUAAAAAUUUGCCUAGUGGUAAUACUCAAAGGGAAAUGAGGAGGUAAGGAUUUAGAGAGGAACUCACGAGAACGCCAAAGUUAACAGGAAGUAGUAAAGACAGAGGGUUUCAGAGUACUCAAAAUAGAAAAUUUUGGAUGGCUCAGUCAAUGGAGCAUGCGACUCUUGAUCUUGGGAUUGUGAGUGCGAGCCCCCCGUGUAGAGAUUACUUAAAAUCUUUUGUCUUACUUUUUUAAAAGAUUUUAUUUAUUUAUUCAUGACAGAGAGAGAGAGGCAGAGACACAGGCAGAGGGAGAAGCAGGCUCCACGCAGGGAGCCCGAUGUGGGACUCGAUCCCAGGACCCCAUCCCGGGACCCCAGGAUCAUGCCCUGGGCCAAAGGCAGGUGCCGAAUUGCUGAGCCACCCAGGGAUCCCCUUAUCUUACUUAAAGAGAAAAUCUUUUUUAAAAAAAAAAAAAAAUAUUUAAAGGAAAGAAAAUGA
rnacentral:lncRNA from 1 species